rnacentral:rRNA from 1 species
UACGGAGGGUGCGAGCGUUGUCCGGAAUCACUGGGUUUAAAGGGUGCGUAGGCGGUUUAUUAAGUCAGGGGUGAAAGACGGCAGCUUAACUGUCGCAGUGCCUUUGAUACUGAUGAACUUGAAUGUACUAGAAGUAGGCGGAAUGUGACAAGUAGCGGUGAAAUGCAUAGAUAUGUCACAGAACACCGAUUGCGAAGGCAGCUUACUAUGGUAUUAUUGACGCUGAGGCACGAAAGCGUGGGGAUCAAACAGG